rnacentral:lncRNA from 1 species
AGGGGGUACAGGGAGGUUGCAUUAGUUUAGUAUUUGUAUUUUUUUUUCAAUUACAGUUAGCUUUUUUAGCAUUAUAUGCUACAAAAAGCUAAUAUUCCAUGAUAUUUUUGAGAUAGAUGCAUAUCUGCAAUUGUAGAUAGCUCAAUGACAAUUAUGUUUUAUAUGCUACUAGCCAUGGAUCCUCUACAACCAAGUCGUAAAAAAUUCUUACAAUUUAGGUAUGGGGCAAGUUUUUGUUGAGAAAAUAUUUGUUUAAUAUUUAAACUUAAAUUUAUCCAAUUCAAUGUUGAUCUAGGAAGCAUGAAAUUGUUUACACCAUUUUUAUAGAAAGGCUUUAGUUUCAAGUUCUGCACAUAACAUCAUUGGUUGAGCUGAUGGAUGCGGCUAAGGAUAGCUAUUA